rnacentral:rRNA from 1 species
GACGAACGCUGGCGGCGUGCCUAACACAUGCAAGUCGAACGGAAAGGUCCUGCUUUUGUGGGGUGCUCGAGUGGCGAACGGGUGAGUAACACGUGAGUAACCUGCCCCUGACUUUGGGAUAACUUCAGGAAAAUGGGGCUAAUACCGGAUAGGAGCUCUUGCUGCAUGGUGGGGGAUGGAAAGUUUCGGCGGUUGGGGAUGGUCUCGCGGCUUAUUAGCUUGUUGGUGGGGUAGUGGCUUACCAAGGCUUUGACGGGUAGCCGGCCUGAGAGGGUUACCGGCCACAUUGGGACUGAGGUACGGCCCAGACUCCUACGGGAGGCAGCAGUGGGGAAUAUUGCACAAUGGGCGGAAGCCUGAUGCAGCAACGCCGCGUGCGUGAUGACGGCCUUCGGGUUGUAAACCACUUUCGCCUGUGACGAAGCGUGAGUGACGGUAAUGGGUAAAGAAGCACCGGCUAACUACGUG